GGACUACACGGGUAUCUAAUCCUGUUCGCUCCCCACGCUUUCGCUCCUCAGCGUCAGUUACUGCCCAGAGACCCGCCUUCGCCACCGGUGUUCCUCCUGAUAUCUGCGCAUUUCACCGCUACACCAGGAAUUCCAGUCUCCCCUACAGCACUCUAGUCUGCCCGUAUCGACUGCAGGCUCGGGGUUGAGCCCCGAGUUUUCACAGCCGACGCGACAAACCACCUACGAGCUCUUUACGCCCAAUAAUUCCGGACAACGCUUGCACCCUACGUAUUACCGCGGCUGCUGGCACCU
rnacentral:misc_RNA from 1 species